rnacentral:rRNA from 1 species
GCAGGCCUAACACAUGCAAGUCGAACGGUAGCACAGAGAGCUUGCUCUCGGGUGACGAGUGGCGGACGGGUGAGUAAUGUCUGGGAAACUGCCCGAUGGAGGGGGAUAACUACUGGAAACGGUAGCUAAUACCGCAUAACGUCGCAAGACCAAAGUGGGGGACCUUCGGGCCUCACACCAUCGGAUGUGCCCAGAUGGGAUUAGCUAGUAGGUGGGGUAAUGGCUCACCUAGGCGACGAUCCCUAGCUGGUCUGAGAGGAUGACCAGCCACACUGGAACUGAGACACGGUCCAGACUCCUACGGGAGGCAGCAGUGGGGAAUAUUGCACAAUGGGCGCAAGCCUGAUGCAGCCAUGCCGCGUGUAUGAAGAAGGCCUUCGGGUUGUAAAGUACUUUCAGUGGGGAGGAAGGCGGUGAAGUUAAUAGCUUCNUCGAUUGACGUUACCCGCAGAAGAAGCACCGGCUAACUCCGUGCCAGCAGCCGCGGU